rnacentral:rRNA from 1 species
UACGUAGGGGGCUAGCGUUGUCCGGAAUCAUUGGGCGUAAAGCGCGUGUAGGCGGCCCGGUAAGUCCGCUGUGAAAGUCGAGGGCUCAACCCUCGAAAGCCGGUGGAUACUGUCGGGCUCGAGUGCGGGAGAGGCGAGUGGAAUUCCUGGUGUAGCGGUGAAAUGCGCAGAUAUCAGGAGGAACACCGGUGGCGAAGGCGGAUCUCUGGGCCUGUUCUGACGCUGAGGCGCGAAAGCUAGGGGAGCGAACAGG